rnacentral:rRNA from 1 species
UGAGCAACCUGCCCCUGGCUCUGGGAUAACCCCGGGAGACCGGAGCUAAUACCGGAUACGAGACCGAUUGGCAUCUUUACGGUCUGGAAAGUUUUUCGGCCAGGGAUGGGCUCGCGGCCUAUCAGCUUGUUGGUGGGGUAAUGGCCCACCAAGGCGACGACGGGUAGCCGGCCUGAGAGGGCGACCGGCCACACUGGGACUGAGACACGGCCCAGACUCCUACGGGAGGCA